UUACCAGCCAAUUUAUCUGCUUAUCUGAAUUUCUGCAGAAAUUUAGAAACAGCUGGCAACGGUGAUGCCAUUUUAUGAGCAUUAAGGACAACUGAGAUCAUUACAGUCCUUCAAAAUGAUUGUAAUA
ensembl:snoRNA